rnacentral:lncRNA from 1 species
CUCUCCGUUCGAGGUAAGAAUAUAAUGGAGUUUACCGUGCCCCUCUAAUAGGCUGGUCCACGGAACCCCCUCUGCAAUGAAUAAUUAAUAUAUAAUCCACCAAUCAAUAAAAUUCAUUCUAGCAUGACAUGGCAAUUUAUCGUAACCUAGCCUCUCAAGGCUGAAUAUACAGUAUAAAUAAUUCUAACACCAAAAUUAGUUUAGCCAUUCAUGCUCAUUUAUUGUCAUAAGCCAUUCAAUUCAAAACCAUAAAUUUGCAACACAAGCAGGCAGUCUCCAAUUACUCUAUUUUCAAAACCAGUAUUCGAUUUUUCCAGAAAAUUUAUGAAAUCGCAAUUUCUCUUAAAACAUAGCAAUUUACCAUUUAAACUCAUUCUCCAUAAAAUCACACAAUUGUAUAAAACUACUUUAGAUAAUUAAGACGAUAAUAAGUUCACUCAUUGUUCUAGGAGUCGAUGUACUCCUAAUCCCAGUCUUCAAGCACAAUUUUUGUACUUUUACCAGUGUACUUUGCUCACCACCUAUCCACAAUGUACAAUGCAUAAUUCAUCACAUCAAUGCUUGACCAUUAUAAAAUCAAUUUAGGCUCGGUAUAUAUGCAUGAUAUGAUAUACAACUUAUCCGACUACCGCUUAAAUGCGGUGCUGACCUAAUUCGACCUAUUAUCUCCAGUUUAACUCCAAAUCAAUUCUUUUCACUUUCUACACUCCAAUUAUACUUAAAUUACCUUAGUGACUUUGAAUGAGAUUCAAUUUAUCAGUCUCGGUAGCAAAUUACACAAAUACCCUUAGUGGGUAAAAAUUCGUAUUUUUGCUCCGAAAAUUCCCAUUAUUUUUCUAGGCUCAUAAUUCAUCAUUUCUUAACUAAUUCUCCUAGAAUGAAAAUCAAAUUCAUCCUCACUCAACACAUGAUAAAUUCGGCCAUUAAUGGUUGUGGGAGAAAAUAAAUUCUUUUCUUGUUGUUUUGUUUCUAAAUAUGCUAAACUAACUUAAAACACUAACAUAACUUAAAAUCAAAUUAAUCUAACAAUUUUCUCUCUCCUAACCCAUUUUUCAGAAUUGAAUUCAUCAUAAUAACUCAAUAUUUAACCACGAAAAUCAAGAACAAAAGCAUGGGUAAGCUAGGUAUCAAGGAGAACUAAAGAAAUUCUAACUUACCUAGCUUGUUUCCUUGAUUUCUUCACUUUUUCUUUGAAUUUUCACCUAGGUUUUCUUGUUUUUCCCUUUGUUCUUCCUCUCUUUCUC